rnacentral:rRNA from 1 species
UACGUAGGGACCGAGCGUUGUCCGGAAUCAUUGGGCGUAAAGAGCGUGUAGGCGGCCAGGCAGGUCCGCUGUGAAAACUCGAGGCUCAACCUCGAGAUGUCGGCGGAAACCAUCUGGCUAGAGUCCGGAAGAGGAAAGUGGAAUUCCUGGUGUAGCGGUGAAAUGCGCAGAUAUCAGGAAGAACACCCGUGGCGAAGGCGGCUUUCUGGGACGGUACUGACGCUGAGACGCGAAAGCGUGGGGAGCGAACAGG